UACGUAGGGUGCAAGCGUUACUCGGAAUUACUGGGCGUAAAGCGUGCGUAGGUGGUUUGUUAAGUCUGAUGUGAAAGCCCUGGGCUCAACCUGGGAACGGCAUUGGAAACUGGCUUACUAGAGUGCGGUAGAGGGGUGUGGAAUUCCCGGUGUAGCAGUGAAAUGCGUAGAUAUCGGGAGGAACAUCUGUGGCGAAGGCGACACCCUGGACCAGCACUGACACUGAGGCACGAAAGCGUGGGGAGCAAACAGG
rnacentral:rRNA from 1 species